AUGCAUGUCUAAGUAUAAGCAAUUAUACAGCGAAACUGCGAAUGGCUCAUUAUAUAAGUUAUCGUUUAUUUGAUAGUACCUUACUACUUGGAUAACCGUGGUAAUUCUAGAGCUAAUACAUGCUAAAAAUCCCGACUCCGGAAGGGAUGUAUUUAUUAGAUUAAAAACCAAUGCCCCCUGGGCUCUCUGGUGAUUCAUAAUAACUUCUCGAAUCGCAUGGCCUUGUGCCGGCGAUGGUUCAUUCAAAUUUCUUCCCUAUCAACUUUCGAUGUUUGGGUAGUGGCCAAACAUGGUUGCAACGGGUAACGGAGGGUUAGGGCUCGACCCCGGAGAAGGAGCCUGAGAAACGGCUACUACAUCCAAGGAAGGCAGCAGGCGCGCAAAUUACCCAAUCCCGAUUCGGGGAGGUAGUGACAAUAAAUACCGAUACAGGGCUCUUUUGGGUCUUGUAAUUGGAAUGAGUACAAUUUAAAUCCCUUAACGAGGAACAANNNNNNNNNNNNNNNNNNNNNNNNNNNNNNNNNNNNUCCAGCUCCAAUAGCGUAUAUUAAAGUUGUUGUGGUUAAAAAGCUCGUAGUUGAACCUUGGGCCUGGCUGGCCGGUCCGCCUCACCGCGUGUACUGGUCCGGCCGGGCCUUUCCCUCUGUGGAACCCCAUGCCCUUCACUGGGCGUGGCGGGGAAACAGGACUUUUACUUUGAAAAAAUUAGAGUGCUCCAGGCAGGCCUAUGCUCGAAUACAUUAGCAUGGAAUAAUGAAAUAGGACGCGCGGUUCUAUUUUGUUGGUUUCUAGGACCGCCGUAAUGAUUAAUAGGGACAGUCGGGGGCAUCAGUAUUCAAUUGUCAGAGGUGAAAUUCUUGGAUUUAUUGAAGACUAACUACUGCGAAAGCAUUUGCCAAGGAUGUUUUCAUUAAUCAGGAACGAAAGUUAGGGGAUCGAAGACGAUCAGAUACC
rnacentral:rRNA from 1 species